rnacentral:rRNA from 1 species
GGUAUGGGAUGAGCUUGCGUCCGAUUAGCUAGUUGGCGGGGCAACGGCCCACCAAGGCGACGAUCGGUAGCCGGCCUGAGAGGGUGAUCGGCCACAUUGGGACUGAGAUACGGCCCAGACUCCUACGGGAGGCAGCAGUAGGGAAUAUUGCACAAUGGGGGAAACCCUGAUGCAGCAACGCCACGUGUGGGAAGAAGCAUUUCGGUGUGUAAACCACUGUCGUGAGGGAAUAAGGCGUCUUCUCGGAGGCGUUGAAUGUACCUCGAAAGGAAGCACCGGCAAACUUCGUGCCAGCAGCCGCGGUAAUACGAGGGGUGCAAGCGUUGUUCGAAAUCACUGGGCGUAAAGGGAGCGUAGGCGGAGAUGCAAGCGGACUGUACAAUACCGGGGCCCAACCCCGGGCCUGCAGUUCGGACUGCACCUCUUGGAUAGUUCAGGGGCAGGC